UACGGAGGGUGCGAGCGUUGUCCGGAAUCAUUGGGCGUAAAGGGCGCGUAGGUGGCCCGGUCAGUCCGUGGUGAAAGCGCGGGGCUCAACCCUGCGUCGGCCAUGGAUACUGCCGCGGCUCGAGCACUGUAGAGGCAGGCGGAAUUCCGGGUGUAGCGGUGGAAUGCGUAGAGAUCCGGAAGAACACCGGUGGCGAAGGCGGUCUGCUGGGGUAAUGCUGACACUGAUGCGCGACAGCGUGGGGAGCAAACAGG
rnacentral:rRNA from 1 species